GACAAAGUAAGCUAAUAAAUUAAGCUUUUGGAUUCAUAUUUCAAGAAUGGAAGGGUAAAAACCUCUCUUUGUUU
rnacentral:tRNA from 1 species